rnacentral:rRNA from 1 species
UACGAAGGGGGCUAGCGUUGUUCGGAAUUACUGGGCGUAAAGGGCGCGUAGGCGGCGUGUCAAGUCAGGCGUGAAAGCCCCGGGCUCAACCUGGGAACCGCGCUUGAGACUGGCAUGCUCGAGUUCGGGAGAGGAUGGUGGAAUUCCCAGUGUAGAGGUGAAAAUUCGUAGAUAUUGGGAAGAACACCGAUGGCGAAGGCAGCCAUCUGGACCGACACUGACGCUGAGGCGGACGAAAGCGUGGGGAGCAAACAGGG